GCCUAGCCCCGAUAGCAGUGGAAAUCCUUUUGCUUGAUGCUAAGAAAGCAAAAGAUUGCAACGAAUAGCGGGUAAAAGC
rnacentral:sRNA from 1 species